UACGUAGGUGGCAAGCGUUGUCCGGAUUUAUUGGGCGUAAAGGGCGCGCAGGCGGUUCGUUAGGUCCGAGGUGAAAUCUCCCGGCUCAACUGGGAGGGGUCUUCGGAUACCGGCGGGCUUGAGGUGAGCAGAGGUGAGCGGAAUUCUGGGUGUAGUGGUGAAAUGCGUAGAUAUCCAGAGGAACACCAGUGGCGAAGGCGGCUCACUGGGCUCCACCUGACGCUGAGGCGCGAAAGCGUGGGGAGCGAACAGG
rnacentral:rRNA from 1 species